CUGAGCAAGGUGAUUUGCAGCUGGGGAGGGACCCUAGGGCGAUUCGUCCGCAGGUGCUCCUGGCAGAGAAAGAGCCUGAGCCCAUGGCGAUCCUUAGGCACCCAUUUAUUGUCUAACACUCCCCUCACCUGUCUUGUGCUGUCUCAAUAAAGGCUACUGCAGAGAUUGCUCCGGGCUAUCCUGCAAGUAAGGUUAGCCCACCUGCUACAAGCUUGUACUUCCAAUCCGCAUCACGCCUGGUUCCUUUCUGCAGCGAUCAAGUCCAGGGCCAUAAGGGUCACUAGGGGCUGUGACAUCUGCCAUAGUUAGCAGGAUCCAGCAGGACACCAAGGACAUGGACCAAAGUGGAAAGUGACACUCAGAAGAUUUUUGGAGACUAGGUAAUUUCAUAAUAGGGAAACCCUGGAUCAAUCUCCUCUGUGGGAACUCUAGCUGCCUCUCCCAUAUCACCUUCCAUCUUCAGCAAGAAGCAGUUAAGAGUGGUCAGCGUCCUAUUUCCCUAUGAGGCAGUUGGAGCUUCUAUGCAGAGUGGGAAGAUUGAUACAGGAUUUCAUUAUUUUUGGCUGAAUAACAAGCCCCAGAAAUGUCUUUAAUACACUAAAGGGGGGAAAUGUAGAGGACACCAAGUGCCAGACACCUCUGAGCAAGAUGAUUUGCAGCUGGGAACGGACCCUCGGGCGAUUCGUCCGCAGGUGCCCCUUGUGGAGAAAGAGCCUGAGCCCAUGGCGA